ensembl:lncRNA
UGAGACUCUGGGUAGAGAGUCUCUGAAGGUUCUGCAGGUGAGACUCUGAGUUUAUAGGAUUAAAACAGAGAGCGCGCAGAUUUGUGGAAGACACUGUUAUGAGAGAACUUUUGGUCAUAAAUACACGAUGGAAUUCAAAGCAUGGGAUGUUCACCUGGAGAUGAGGCCUGCCGGUGCGGCGUGUCAUGGAGAGAACACACAGCUGGCUGUGGACCUGCGGUAAUAGAGAACUGUCUUUCGGGAGAGGAAGUAGACAGUUCUACAAGUUCGAGGGGACCUCCACAGUGAAGUGGAGGACGUGAGGAUCUAAAGGGGGGACACGCACCUCCCCCCCAUCCCCCAUCUUAUCUCCCCAAGAGAGAAGCUUUAAGGAAUGGACGCACGGCAGAGGAAUCGACAACUCUUCACUUAGUAACCCUGAGAACAAUUGGGACAUUGAGACGGGCAGAACAUCUGAGACUACACAGUCAGGCAGACAGGCUGAGUCACUAAGUCACUGGCUGGUUCUGUGGAGAGCUGAUAACAGCAUUCGCUCAGGGGCUUCUGGAACAGGGAACACACACACACGCAAACACGCACACACGCACGCACGCCACAACUUUAAAGUAAGUAGUUCAUGAGAAUGUCAUGAGAAGUCAUAAGCAUUGAGUUGGACAAGGGGAAGGUGGGAGGGUCAAAUUAAAAGACAAUAGUGAUGGACAGAUCGAAUGAUCGGUAAUGGAGGAGUUCAUUGGGAAUGGAAGAAGAGAGAGAUUCUAAAGCACUUGUGUGAUAAAGGACAAAUGCUGGUGCUUUAUACAAGAAGCGGUGUAGUGGUCGUAGGGUUCUGUCUAUGUCUCCCCUAUAAUCCAGAUAGCUGAUUGGUUUGGGCAUGGUGACAUAAUCAGUAGGGGCCAAUAGUGCAGAAACAUAAUGCUGGAAGCCAAAAUUUCCCAAUGCCGAAUUUUGUUAAUGAGCACCGUAGUAAUCCCAGUUUAUUUUCCAUUUUUCUCUUUUCUCUGUACUAGAAAGGUGCUUUCAGUAAUAUUUAGGAGCUUUUUUGAGCGUAGUAUGUUGGACAUGGCCUCCCCAUCUGUCAGCUAUUAGUGAAUGAAAACCCAAGUGAAGGAUUUUUCCCGGUCAGACACCAACUCCAUUGUUUUCCUAUUGGUUAAGCAGUGCAGUCAUUUCAGAGGGGGGAGGGGCCAUUGAGGGUCACACUUAAGGGUCAGGAGAAGUUUGUGUGUAAAGGUACCAUCCCACGUCCACUGCAUCUAAUUUCCUGGCCGCAGAGUGACGGGGCAGGACAAAUAAUAAAAGAAAAAAAGAGAAUGAACAACUGAAAAAAAAGAUAUUUGAUAGCUGUCAACAUCCGCAGCCUCGUCAUGGAGGUCACGAUAAUCACGCCUAUGCCAUUGCCACUGGCAAAUUAUUUAAAUAUGAGGGUGUUAAUACAUAUUUUAGCGUUUCUGUCUCAAAAUUAAAACUUUUAGCUCACGCUAUUUGUUGUAUUUCUGGAGACACAAAUGACUAAUGCCUGGAACACUUUUGCUUAACAUCAGAUUAAUUUGUAAUGCAGAUUUUACCUUAUUACUCAAGUAAAUAGUACUUUAUUUUUGCUAUCUUGUUAACUCUUCUGUUAUGAGCAAGGGUUAGGGGGUUUAACCUCAUUCUAGAUGUUGAUGAACUGUUGAGCAUUAGUUCAGAGUGUGAUGCUGAGAAUCUUACCUUUGCUGUUAGGGUUAGGGUUAUCUCUAGUACUACCACAUCAUAGCCGUGCGGUUACUCAAAGUUAAUCAACACCCCUCCAGGCAAUCCCAAUCCAAAGAAUGAAUAUUAAAGUAUAAACCCAUGAUUAUUUAUAUCUAUCCAUGACACUCCACCAUAUGUUCUGCUGCUGCACCUCUUGACUAUAAAGGCAUGUCCCUUCUGGCUCCCUCAGGAAUUCAGCUCCACUUUAAUCAGGGCAGCGUCCCUCCCGCAGGCAGGGUAUGUAAUUAAUGGACUGGAGAAGGCUCACCCUGGGGCGCUUCUAUUGUUGUUGGGGACUCCAAUAUGGGCUAAUAGAAGGAAAGUUUGUCCUAAAGAACACCAGCACCAUUACUUUUCUACCUGUGGUGGAAAAGUUAUUGGACUACGGACCUUUUUGUGAUUCUCAUCCACGGGACAGAAUGUAAACCCCUCCCCCAGCCGGCCUUAGGUUAAGCGGAUCAAUCCACUCCAUUCUUCUCCCUCCAACGUCUUAAACUGGAAAAAACAACAAGGGUUCGUUGGGUGGUUCAAGGCUGGAGUGGGGAAUCCUUUGCCACUCUCCAGGACUGCCUGUCUCAGCCUCUCCCAGUGCAUUGAUGAUGUCGUCCCAAAUGGGACCCUGGGGAAAUUGAGGACUUUCAGAUAUGUCCUACAGAAAAGCCAUCAGAGAUGCCAAAAUAACCUACAGGGAGUCUCGUUGGAGCACAAAGAAAGAGAAAUCACAGUGGUGGCCAGCUCGCCGCAUUUGUUACGGAAGGGCCUCACGCACCUUCAUGCACUGUUUGAGGCAAGCAAGACCAUCCCUUCUGCGAGGCCAGCUGAGAACCAGGACGACUGCACUCUGUCCCUCACUAUGGCUGACCUGAGGAGCGCUUAUAAAAGGGUAAACCCUCGAAAGUAUCCUGGGCCAGAUGGUGUUCCAGGGAUCUCCUGGGAGCCUGGAUCCUGCACUUCCUGACGGCCAGACCCGUGGCGGUGAGAAUGGGAAACUUCACUAUCUCUGCACUGGGAGGAGAUCAGCGUCUUGGCAACAUGGUGCGAGGAAAACAACCCUAACGUAUGCAGGACUAAAGAGAGGAUUGUGUACUUCAGGAAGCAGCAGGGGCGUGUUACUGGAGCAUCCGGGCACAGAUUAGCAGACAAAAGAAAAUUGUUCCCCCCACCCAAUCAGGCUUCUCAACAAGCCAGUUUUAGGUUAGUGAUCAAAUUGAUCAAAGAAAUUAUUUAAUUGUUUUUAAUAAUAAAAAUAUAGCUUUUUUUCCUUUCUAUGAAUCUAUUUGCAAUGUUGCCGUUGUUGUCUUUUUAAAAUAAAUUGUAAUAUGUUUGUGAGUAGAUAUUAAUAGUAUACUGCC